GCGCUCCCUGCUUCCCCGCACGUCGCGCUGGAGGUCGGCCAUCUGGCUGUUCAACGAGUCGAUCUCGUCGCAGCGGGACGUGAGCUCCUGUUGGUCCCUGCAAUGCAUCGCAAAACGAUUAUCAACUGGAGAAAGAUACCGCUGAUGCUGGUCCUGGAGCGCGGACAUCUUGUUCAGCUCGUCUCUCUGCCGCCCGAUCUCGGCUUUCUGCCUGUUGAUGAUCUCCCGGUAUUUGCUCAGCUCGUCCUCCCAGCGCGGACGCUCGUCCUCCAGGCACUUCAACUGCGGAGGGUGGCGAGCCGGUUGGAGGAGGCGUGGCGGCAGCGAUAGCGCCAUGCGGGUCCUCCAGCUCUUUGGCUUUCACGCGAUGCACCUGCAACAGCCACAAAUCUCUCAACCUCAGGAGAAUAUUGUCCAUUGACAGGUGGGCUUCCCUUCAUCCCGCCUUCUCGUUCGACUUCGGGAAGCUGACACGCCAUCAGCUCCGACUCCAGCUCGUCCAGCAGCGACUCCUGCGACAGGGACCGCUGGAUCUGAGAGAUCAGCUUCCGG